rnacentral:rRNA from 1 species
UACGAAGGGGGCGAGCGUUGUCCGGAAUCACUGGGCGUAAAGGGCGCGUAGGCGGCGCGGGAAGUCAUCGGUGAAAGUUCAGGGCUCAACUCUGAAUCGGCCGGUGAUACUCUCGUGCUCGAGCACUGUAGAGGCAGGUGGAAUUCCGGGUGUAGCGGUGGAAUGCGUAGAGAUCCGGAAGAACACCGGUGGCGAAGGCGGCCUGCUGGGCAGUAGCUGACGCUGAUGCGCGACAGCGUGGGGAGCAAACAGG